ensembl:snRNA U6 U6 spliceosomal RNA
GAUCCAUUUGGAAGAACAUAUAUUAAAAUUGGAUGGACAGAGAGAAAAUCAGCACAGCCCCAGCCCAAGGAUGACCCACAAAUUUUGAAAUGUUCCAUUUUUUU